GACGAACGCUGGCGGCGUGCUUAACACAUGCAAGUCGAACGGUGAAGCUCCAGCAUGCUGGAGUGGAUCAGUGGCGAACGGGUGAGUAACACGUGAGCAACCUGCCCCAAACUCUGGAAUAAGCGCUGGAAACGGCGUCUAAUACUGGAUACGAGACGGAACCGCAUGGUUACCGUUUGGAAAGUUUUUCGGUUUGGGAUGGGCUCGCGGCCUAUCAGCUUGUUGGUGAGGUAAUGGCUCACCAAGGCGACGACGGGUAGCCGGCCUGAGAGGGCGACCGGCCACACUGGGACUGAGACACGGCCCAGACUCCUACGGGAGGCUG
rnacentral:rRNA from 1 species